CGAGAGGAUAAGGCUGACGUCUUUGAUUUUCCUUGCCCUUCAAGAAAUGUUGAUGAAGCAACGAAACGAAAGACGCAAAAGUCUAAAGUCUGGCUUAGAGUGUGGAAAGUAAUUUCAAAAAUGCUUGAGGAAAAUGAAAAGUUCAGAAGUCGACUGAUGGCUUGCAGUCAGUGUAAUGGAGAAGGAGGAGUCCAUCUUUGGCUGGGUAUAGGAAGAAAAUAAAAGACGAUUGAAUCUGACAGAAA